AUGACUCUGAUCUGCGUCCUCAUCUGGACUCUCCUCUGCUGCUGCUUCACAGAGUCCAGAGGACAGGUCACAGUGACUCAGCCUGCAGCAGUGAGCUCUGCUCCAGGAGGCUCCGUCACCAUCUCAUGCAGGAUCAGUCAGAAUGUUAACAAUAAUAACUAUCUGCACUGGUACCAACAGAAAGACGGAGAAACUCCUAAACUGCUCAUCUAUGUUACUAGCAAUCGAGCAUCAGGGAUUCCAGGUCGUUUUACAGGCAGUGGAUCUGGAUCUAGCUUCACUCUGACCAUCAGUGGAGUCCAGACUGAAGAUGCCGCAGUUUACUACUGUCAGAGUUAUCACAGUCCGUAUGUGUGGACUUUUGGUGGAGGAACCAGACUGGAUGUUGGAAGUGAUGCACGCCCCACCCUGACGGUGCUUCCCCCCUCCAUUGCGGAGCUGCAGAAGGGGCAUGCCACGGUCAUGUGCCUGGCCAACAAGGGCUUCCCCUCAGGCUGGAGUCUGGCCUGGAAGGUGGGAGGUGGCGGCAGCAGCAGCAUCAGCUGGGAGGAUAGCAAGAGCCCUGCUGUGCUGGAGAAGGACGGCCUCUACAGCUGGAUCAGCACCCUGAGCCUCACUGCAGACCAGUGGAUGAAGGUGGACUCUGUGACCUGUGAGGCCACCCAGGGCUCUCAGACUCUGGUCUCACAGUCCCUGAGCAGAGACCAGUGUCCCUAGUUCUGAUCUGACUCACUGGGACCCUGAUUCUGUUUGUUCUCUGUUCCUGCUCUCAGUCUAAACUCUCUGUCUCUGGUUCUCUCUUUCAAUCAUGACAUGUUUCAUGUUUCAACAUUUCACUGUUUCUACUCAUGCUGAUGGAUUCAAUGUUUUAAAACAAUAAAGAUUUUAUUAUGUAUAUCAUCAAA